CAUCCAGACUCCUACGGGAGGCAGCAGUGGGGAAUAUUGGACAAUGGGGGGAACCCUGAUCCAGCGACGCCGCGUGAGUGAAGAAGUAUUUCGGUAUGUAAAGCUCUAUCAGCAGGGAAGAAAGAAAUGACGGUACCUGACUAAGAAGCCCCGGCUAACUACGUGCCAGCAGCUGCGGUAAUACGUAGGGGGCAAGCGUUAUCCGGAUUUACUGGGUGUAAAGGGAGCGUAGACGGUUACGCAAGUCUGGAGUGAAAGGUGGGGGCCCAACCCCCGGACUGCUUUGGAAACUGUGCAGCUAGAGUGCAGGAGAGGUAAGUGGAAUUCCUAGUGUAGCGGUGAAAUGCGUAGAUAUUAGGAGGAACACCAGUGGCGAAGGCGGCUUACUGGACUGUAACUGACGUUGAGGCUCGAAAGCGUGGGGAGCAAACAGGAUUAGAUACCCCAGUAA
rnacentral:rRNA from 1 species